CUUGUUCGGGGCUGUGUUCCCACCCUGUGGUUUGGCCUGAGGCCAAACUAUGGUAGGAGCAAUGGUGGUAAUGGUGGUAAUGGUGGUAAUGGUGGUAAUGGUGGCCUCCUUCAAAAGGGCUUAUUCCAGUACUGUUGUAUUCAAUGCCCCUGACCCUGGGGGCAACAGGAUGAUCUCUGUUCCUUUCUAAGGCAAACAUUUUGAUAUCACAGUAAUCCAAGUCUAUGCUCCAACCACUAAUGAUGAGAACUUGAGGUUGAACGGUUUUAUGAACACAAAAAUGACCUUCUAGAACUAACACUGAAAAAAAGGUGUCCUUUUCAUCAUAGGGGAUUGGAAUGCAAAAGUAGGAAUUCAAGAGAUACCUGGAUUAACAGGCAAGUUUGGCCUUGGAGUAUAAAAUGAAGCAGGGCAAAGGCUAACAGCUUUGCCAAGAGAACGCAUUGGUCAUAACAAACACCCUCUUUCAACAACACAAGAGAUGACUCUACACAUUCCAUCACUAGAUAGUCAAUACUGAAAUCAGACUGAUUAUAUUCCUUGCAGCCAAAGAUGGGGACUCUCUAUACAGUCAGCAAAAACAAGACCAGGAGCUGACUGUGGCUCAGAUCAUGAAAUCCUUAUUGCCAAAUUCAAACUUAAAUUGAAGAAAGUAGGGAAAAUACUAGACCAUUCAUGUAUAACUGAAAUCAAAUCCCUUACAAUUAUACAGUGGAAGUGACAUAUAGAUUCAAGGGAUUAGUUCUUAUAGACAGAGUACCAGAAGAACUAUGGACAGAGGUUUAUGACAUGGUACAGGAGGCAGUGAUCAAAACCACACCCCCCCAAAAAAAAAUAAAAAAAAACAACCCCCAAGAAAAAGAAAUGCAAAAGGGCAAAAUGGCUGCCUGAGGAGGGCUUACAAAUAGCUGAGCAAAGAAGAGAAGCUAAAGGCAAAGGAGAAAAGGAAAGAUACACCCUUCUAAAUGCAGAGUUAAAAGAAUAGCAAGGAGAGAUAAGAAAGCCUUCCUAAGUGAUCAGUGCAAAGAAACAGAGGGAAAAAAUAGAAUGGGAAAGACUAGAGAUCUCGUCAAGAAAAUUUGAGAUACUAAGUGAACAUUUCAUGCAAAGAUAGGCACAAUAAAGGAUAGAAACAGUAUGGACCUAACAGAAGCAGAAGAUAUUAAGAAGAGGUGACGAGAAUACACAGAAGAACUACGUAAAAAGAUCUUCAUGAUCUGGAUAACCAUGAUGGUGUGAUCACUGACCUAGAGCCAGACAUCCUGGAAUGUGAAGUCAAGUGGGCCUUAGAAAGCAUCACUACGAACAAAGCUAGUGGAGGUGAUGGAAUUCCAGUUGAGCUAUUUCAAAUCCUGAAAGAUGAUGCU
rnacentral:lncRNA from 1 species